UACGUAGGGUGCAAGCGUUGUCCGGAAUUAUUGGGCGUAAAGAGCUUGUAGGCGGUUUGUCGCGUCUGCUGUGAAAUUUCGGGGCUCAACCCCGAACUUGCAGUGGGUACGAGCAGACUAGAGUGUGGUAGGGGAGACUGGAAUUCCUGGUGUAGCGGUGAAAUGCGCAGAUAUCAGGAGGAACACCGAUGGCGGAAGGCAGGUCUCUGGGCCAACUACUG
rnacentral:rRNA from 1 species